rnacentral:rRNA from 1 species
UGGGGAAUAUUGCACAAUGGGCGCAAGCCUGAUGCAGCCAUGCCGCGUGUGUGAAGAAGGCCUUCGGGUUGUAAAGCACUUUCAGCGAGGAGGAAGGUGGUGAACUUAAUACGUUCAUCAAUUGACGUUACUCGCAGAAGAAGCACCGGCUAACUCCGUGCCAGCAGCCGCGGUAAUGCGGAGGGUGCAAGCGUUAAUCGGAAUUACUGGGCGUAAAGCGCACGCAGGCGGUUUGUUAAGUCAGAUGUGAAAUCCCCGGGCUCAACCUGGGAACUGCAUUUGAAACUGGCAAGCUAGAGUCUCGUAGAGGGGGGUAGAAUUCCAGGUGUAGCGGUGAAAUGCGUAGAGAUCUGGAGGAAUACCGGUGGCGAAGGCGGCCCCCUGGACGAAGACUGACGCUCAGGUGCGAAAGCGUGGGGAGCAAACAGGAUUAGAUACCCUGGUAGUCCACGCUGUAAACGAUGUCGAUUUUGGAGGUUGUGCCCUUGAGGCGUGGCUUCCGGAGCUAACGCGUUAAAUCGACCGCCUGGGGAGUACGGCCGCAAGGUUAAAACUCAAAGGAAUUGACGGGGUC